AGAGGGGGCAAGCGUUGUUCGGAAUUACUGGGCGUAAAGGGCGCGUAGGCGGCCUGCUAAGUCGAACGUGAAAUCCCCGGGCUCAACCCGGGAACUGCGUCCGAUACUGGUUGGCUCGAAUUCGGGAGAGGGAUGUGGAAUUCCAGGUGUAGCGGUGAAAUGCGUAGAUAUCUGGAGGAACACCGGUGGCGAAGGCGGCAUCCUGGACCGAUAUUGACGCUGAUGCGCGAAAGCCAGGGGAGCAAACGGGAUUAGAUACCCCGGUAGUCCUGGCCCUAAACGAUGAAUGCUUGGUGUGGCGGGUAUCGAUCCCUGCCGUGCCGAAGCUAACGCAUUAAGCAUUCCGCCUGGGGAGUACGGUCGCAAGGCUGAA
rnacentral:rRNA from 1 species